rnacentral:rRNA from 1 species
AGAGCGAACGCUGGCGGCAGGCCUAACACAUGCAAGUCGAACGGACCCUUCGGGGUUAGUGGCGGACGGGUGAGUAACACGUGGGAACGUGCCUUUAGGUUCGGAAUAGCUCCUGGAAACGGGUGGUAAUGCCGAAUGUGCCCUUCGGGGGGAAAGAUUUAUCGCCUUUAGAGCGGCCCGCGUCUGAUUAGCUUGUUGGUGAGGUAAUGGCUCACCAAGGCUACGAUCAGUAGCUGGUCUGAGAGGAUGACCAGCCACAUUGGGACUGAGACACGGCCCAAACUCCUACGGGAGGCAGCAGUGGGGAAUCUUGCGCAAUGGGCGAAAGCCUGACGCAGCCAUGCCGCGUGUAUGAUGAAGGUCUUAGGAUUGUAAAAUACUUUCACCGGUGAAGAUAAAUGACUGUAGCCGGAGAAGAAGCCCCGGACUAACUUCGUGCCAGCAGCCGAC